UCUGUAUUUGGAUUACUGGUUUCUCUGCAGAUGAGGAAUCAAAACUCUUGCUUCAACACUUUGCCUUCGAUUGAGAAUUGAGAGAAGGCGGCUGGAGGAGCAGAAUGGGUUAGAAAUACCGUGUCUUGCAGAAGAAAAUGUGAUCACGGAGGAGGAGAGAAAAAAAUCUCUCCAGAAUAUUUAUUUAAAAUUUGAACUAAGGAAAGUCUUGGUGACCAAGUCAAGGAGGAAAAGAUUUAAUUAAAUUAGUUUGAUUCACGGUCCUUUGUAUUUUAUUUAAAUUGUGCAGCCUACAAUUUAUUUCCCACAAGACUAGAUUUUUGUAUUAUAUAUAUUCAAUUUAUCGGAUCCAACACGAAAUUGAGUCCAAUAAAUAUUCCUCACUGAAAGAAAUUAUUUAGUUUCA